UGAGAGAGAGCUGGAAAUUGCCUUCAGCCCUUUAAAAAAAUUCACCUUUGUCCUUGUGUUUUUCUCCUGGCUUGGAGAUGCAGAUAGUGGAGAGACCUGGUAGAAUGGAAAUAUACUGAGCAUGGAUUUUGUCAGUCCAACACAUGGAAGCAGCUGGGGCAUUCGAUCCUCUUUACACCAGUAUGUCAAACGAGCAUCUUUCUGUGACCUUGGUAGGAGCUGCCAACCUAAUGACGCAGCACAGCACUUUUCAGCAGGAGGCCCUGCCUCAUGUGGCAGACCUGACCUGAGACAAUUCAGGUCUCAUUUAAGGCAUUUCAAUGAUGAGAACAGAAGCUUCCUAGUCCUGAUUGUCCUGACAUAGUGACCCAAAUGGUAGCAUGCUCUUUGUUUUUCAACUGUGCUGGUUUGUGUUUCAGACAUUAAAGAUGCUUUUGUGACCAGAGGCUCAAUGCUUUAAAUGAAAAUGAAAAAGAAAUACAUGAAGUUUGGAAAAUGAAUGCCACAAGGACAUUAGAGCCAGGCUAACAUCCCC
rnacentral:lncRNA from 1 species